rnacentral:rRNA from 1 species
GUAGGUGGCAAGCGUUGUCCGGAAUUAUUGGGCGUAAAGCGCGCGCAGGCGGUUCUUUAAGUCUGAUGUGAAAGCCCACGGCUCAACCGUGGAGGGUCAUUGGAAACUGGAGAACUUGAGUACAGAAGAGGAAAGCGGAAUUCCACGUGUAGCGGUGAAAUGCGUAGAGAUGUGGAGGAACACCAGUGGCGAAGGCGGCUUUCUGGUCUGUAACUGACGCUGAGGCGCGAAAGCGUGGGGAGCAAACAGGAUUAGAUAUCCUGGUAGUCCACGCCGUAAACGAUGAGUGCUAAGUGUUAGGGGGUUUCCGCCCCUUAGUGCUGCAGCUAACGCAUUAAGCACUCCGCCUGGGAGUACGGCCGCAAGGCUG